rnacentral:rRNA from 1 species
GACGAACGCUUGCGACGUGCCUAAGAAAUGCAAGUCGAACGGGGGGAGCAAUCCCCUAGUGGCGAACGGUCGCGUAACACGUGGGCAACCUGCCCUGAAGCGGGGGACAACAAGCCGAAAGGUUUGCUAAUACCGCAUGUGGAUCGCUCUGGCAUCAGAGAUUAUCCAAAGCCGCAAGGCACUUCAGGAUGGGCCCGCGGCCUAUCAGCUAGUUGGUGAGGUAACGGCUUACCAAGGCGACGACGGGUAGCUGGUCUGAGAGGACGAUCAGCCGGAUUGGGACUGAGAUACGGCCCAGACUCCUACGGGGGGCAGCAAUUAGGAAUCUUGCGCAAUGGGCGAAAGCCUGACGCAGCGACGUCGCGUGAAGGAUGAAAUCUUUCGGGAUGUAAACUUCUUUUACCAGGGAAGAAUAAUGACGGUACCUGGUGAAUAAGCCCCGGCUAACUACGUGCCAGCCGCCGCAGUAAAAC